GAUUUGAACUACAGUUCCGAUUAGGCCCAACUUUGCAGGGAAAAGCUGUUACUGUGUAUACAAAUUAUCCAUUAUCUGGAGAAACAUUUAAUCGAGAAAAAUUCUGUUCCCUGGAUUGGGAAAAUCCAACUGAAAGAGAAGAUGAUUCUGACAAAUACUGUAAACUCAAUCUGCAACAGUCUGGAUCCUUUCAGUAUUACUUUCUUCAAGGAAAUGAGAGAAGUGGUGGCGGUUACAUAGUUGUGGAUCCUAUUUUGCGUGUUGGGGCAGAUAAUCACGUGUUACCCCUGGACUGUGUUAUUCUGCAGACGUUUUUAGCUAAGUGUUUAGGACCCUUUGAUGAAUGGGAAAGCAGACUUAAGGUUGCAAAAGAAUCAGGGUACAACAUGAUUCAUUUCACCCCACUGCAGACCCUUGGAUUAUCUAGGUCCUGCUACUCCCUUUCUGACCAGUUAGAAUUAAAUCCUGACUUUUCAAGGCCUAAUAAAAAGUAUACCUGGAAUGAUGUUGGGCAGCUAGUAGAAAAACUGAAAAAGGAGUGGAAUAUUCUUUGUAUUACAGAUGUUGUCUACAACCAUACUGCUGCUAAUAGUAAGUGGAUCCAGGAACACCCAGAGUCAGCGUAUAAUCUUUGUGAACUCUCCUCACUUAAAACCUGCCUGGUCUUAGACAGAGCACUUUGGCACUUUCUCCUGCGUUGUGGCAGAUGGGAGGUACAGAGAAAGAGGAAUUCCUGCCUUGAUUGAAAAUGAUCAACAUAUGAAUGUGAGUGUGUAUGGAGGAGUACCAUAGCAAACCAGGAUAACA